GACGAACCGUGCAAACGUUGUUCGGAAUCACUGGGCUUAAAGGGCGCGUAGGCGGACCGCCAAGUCCGGGGUGAAAUCUUUCGGCUUAACCGGAAAAGGGCCUUGGAUACUGGCGGUCUCGAGUGAGGUAGGGGCAUGUGGAACUUCCGGUGGAGCGGUGAAAUGCGUUGAUAUCGGAAGGAACUCCGGUGGCGAAAGCGACGUGCUGGACCGUCUUCUGACGCUGAGGCGCGAAAGCUAGGGAGCAAACAGG
rnacentral:rRNA from 1 species